UACGUAGGUCCCGAGCGUUGUCCGGAUUUAUUGGGCGUAAAGCGAGCGCAGGUGGUUUAUUAAGUCUGGUGUAAAAGGCAGUGGCUCAACCAUUGUAUGCAUUGGAAACUGGUAGACUUGAGUGCAGGAGAGGAGAGUGGAAUUCCACGUGUAGCGGUGAAAUGCGUAGAUAUAUGGAGGAACACCGGUGGCGAAAGCGGCUCUCUGGCCUGUAACUGACACUGAGGCUCGAAAGCGUGGGGAGCAAACGGG
rnacentral:rRNA from 1 species